GUGUUUGAGAUCUUGUAUCUAUACAGAUCUUCAUCUUCGAUAACCGGUGGCAUGCUCCAUUUCCCGAGACGAGAAGCAAGUUCCUUCCCACCUGAAAUAUAUGCAAAUUCAAAAUAUGUUUGGCUAAAUAUAAAUCAAAUACUAAUCCAGUUCUUACUUUGUUUGGCGGCCUCUUCACGCCCUUUUUGAUAUUUGAGAGCAAGCUGAGGAUCCAAAAUGCUUAGCAAGUGCUUGUACUUCUCCUGCGCCUCUGUAAUUAAUCUUGCCUAGUCAUAUGAAGAGUUGCUUAAGGCAGGCGCGUUGGUUUUGCCACAAAGAUUACCCGUGAAGAAUUGUUGUUGAUGGAUGCACAUGUUGACCAAGCAACGGUCACAUGACCGUUUGGAAUUAAUAAAAUAAAAUAAAUUAUUUGAUUAUUUACCUUAUAAAUAACCACCCCAUUUUAUAUUUCGCUCAAAUCUUAAACCAUUUUCAUUUAAAUCUUAUACCACACUCAAAUCAAUCUCAUUUCUCAAUGACUAAUUCUCCUCGAUAACUUGGGUAUUUUUUUUACCACCCGAUGAUUUUGAAAACGCUUUUUUGUCAACCGAUAGUAGCUUAGUUUUUUUCAAAGAGAUACUUGAGGAAGCCAAAGCGGAAGACACCACAACAUCGUCAGGCAUUCCAAGAAAAAAUCGUCAAGCGUGAUCGCGUACACGGUAACGACAAUCUUAUGAAUGAUUAUUUUGUUGAUGAACUAAAGUAUGAUCAUGAAACAUUCUGCUACCGGUUUCGUAUGUCAAAACAAUUGUUCUUAAAAAUUGUUGGUGAUGUAGAAGCACAAUAUCCUUUGUUUCAAGAGGGAUAUGACGGGCGGAUGAAAAAGUGUUUUAUGGCAAUACAAAAAGUUACAUCCGCCAUUAAAUAACUCGCGAGCGGUAAUAGUCCCGACCAGAACAACGAGUACUUACAAAUGUCCGAAAGGACUUCGCCAGAAUGCCUACAAUUGUUUUUUUGUAACGUCGUGAAUCAAUUGUAUGGUCAUGAGUUCUUGCAUAGGCCGACAAGAAACGACAUAGCGAAUUUGUUCAAAUUCCAUGAAGAAAAACACCACAAUCCAGGGGUAUUAGGUAGCAUUGAUUGUAUGCAUCUUGUUUCGAGGAUGUGUCCCACUGAGUUACGAGGCUAAUAUAUGAGAGGUGAUCACAAAUACCCAACGGUCAUGGUCGAAGCGGUCGCGUCAGAAGAUUUAUGGUUUUGACAUGCGUAUUAUGGUCUGCCCUGUUCACUAACAAUAUCAAUGUGCUCCAAAAAUCUCCAAAAUAUCUCGUUGAACGCACCUAAGUGUCUAUUUCAAGUGAAGGGACAUACAUACAAACCUGGAUACUAUUUAACCGACGAGAUCUACCCUACUUGGUUAACGCUUGUGAAAACAUUUCCAUAUCUUGCCGAUCUGAAUGAAAAGAAAUUCGAAAUUGCGAGAAGGAGCAAGAAAAGAUGUGGAGCAUGCUUUUAGUGUGCUAAAAGGAAGAUGAGACAUACUUAGGAGACCCAUGCAUGCUAUGACUAUGGACAAGAUUAUUAGUGUGACGUAUGCGUGUAUCAUACUACACAAUAUGAUCUUAAAGGACGACGAACAUGUCUUCUCAGCGGUCCACAUCCAGGAUGGUUGUCGAACAUGUUUUUGACGAUACUGUUCUUCGGGAGUUGAUGGACCGAGAUACGCAUUUGCGGCUUAAAAAUGAUCUAUGGUCCAUCUUACAGCUCAAGAUCUACAGUGCCUUAAGCAAGAAAACGAGAAGUAGUUUGUUUUAUAUUUUUUAUUGUUUUUCUAGUUAUGUUUUUUUGUUAAUUUAAUUUAAUUUGUUUGCUUAAUUUAAAUUGUUAUUUAAUGAAAUUUCAAUU
rnacentral:lncRNA from 1 species